GGGCUGGAGAGAUAGCUAGCUCAUUGUUAAGAGAAUUUGCUACUUUUUUUUGGGGGGGGGGGUGGUUUGAGACAGGGUUUCUCUGUGUAGCUUUGCGCCUUUCCUGGGACUCACUUGGUAGCCCAGGCUGGCCUCGAACUCACAGAGAUCCACCUGCUUCUUCCUCCCGAGUGCUGGGAUUAAAGGCGUGCAUCACCACCACCGAACAAGAAUUUGCUACUCUUGAAGAGGACUGGGGUUCAAUUUCUAGCACCCACAUGGUGACUCACAACCACGUGUAGCUCCACUUCCAGAGAACCUAAUGAUUCUUCAGGCUCUUCAGGAACCAGGCAAACCAAGCUACACUUUCCUAGCUUUGUUAUUCAGUGAUGGCUAACUCCGUGCCCCACAAAUUCUGGAGGAUGCACACUAACUUUCAAGAGUUCAUCUGUAAUCCCCUUCAAUGGGCUUGAGAAUUGCUGAGGAGGCAAGAAGAAAGAAAGGAUUUGAAAACAAAACCACCAUUUCAUGAAGAAGCGGGUGUGCUGUGGCCUGGCAAAGGAGUGAGAGCAGGCGGCCUUUCACUUUCUAUCUGCUGAUUAUUGAGCUGCAUUAGCAAAUGGCUUGUCUAUAUAAAUAGCAUCCCAUGUACAUGGAACAAACCAUACUACAACACAGAGAUGCUUUGUGAGUACUCAGAAUGACUUACAGGCUGCAAUCUAGCUAAUCCAACAAUGGCUGGCUGUGAAUAGGAAGUCAGUAGUUGCUCGGUCCACCAGGCUGAAUGUCUCAGCUGGUCUUCAGUGUACACUACAAUCCCAAAGAAGGAGGCUCUAACGCCGAUGAAGGAAUGGACUUGCUGACAAGGCAAGGGUGAGCAGGCAAGGAGAAAGGCUUCCUUCUUCCAUGUCCUUUAUACAGGCUUCCAGUGGAAGGUGUGGCCCAGAUUAAAGGCUUGUGUCUUCCCACCUCAAGGAUCUGGAUUGAAGGCCUGUCUUCCUACCUCAAACAUCUGGGCUAGAAGUGGUUCUUCCUACUUCACAUUAAACAAAAAUUCCUCACAGGUGUGCCCUCUGGUUUUUGUAUUUUAGUUAAUUCCAGAUAUAGUCAAGUUGACAACCAAGAAUAACCAUCGUAUUUGUUCUAACUGUAUAGAAAUUUAUUGAAUUGUGUAGACUUUGGGUCUGGUUAAUUUUGUGGUGUGAUGUUUUUAUUUAUUUGCAAGUUUUUUUUAAAUAAUAAAGUUUAUAAAGUUUAAAACACAGUUAAUAUAGUAGUACUUGUCAAAAGAUGGCAUCAUAACAGAUGGUGUGGUAUUUUGUAAAUAAUAAAUGUUUAUUGAGUGAACAAAUGAUUGUGUGAAUGAAAUACAUUUGUAUUCUCCAGAAGAUUUUAUGACAUCACAUACUUAAUUCAAGAAAUUUCUGACUUAUGUAUGCUGUUUUAUAUGUAACAUCAUGUAACUUACAUUGUUAUAACUUACAAAUUAUUUUAUAAACAAAUAUAUAAUAGUGCAUUAUUUUAUUUUAUUGUUUUUUAUGAUUUUAUUAGUUUAUAUAAUAUAGAAUAAGCAUGAUAAUAAUGCUAAA